UCGGACACUGGUUCGCCGUACCGGUCCCCUUAACCUCCAUGUAAGUCUUGCUCUGUAUCUCGUCGUACGUUAGCUUCUUUUGUGCUUCCUCUCCGCAUUUGCCCCUUUCAUUUCCAAGAACAUAGUUUUAAAAUACUCAACCUUCCAAAUAGUUUAAAACCGGUUUGAAAACUUCACAUGUUCUUUGUCAAAAUCAAAUCAAGUAAUCUAAUCGAAAUCAUAGUACAAGAUAAAAACCCAAGUUUGGAGUUUUAGAAAAUUGUAAUCAUAAAAAACAAAGCUUUUAUACAUUAUUUGUCUUAAGAGACUAGAAAAUACAUUAUUUAGGACCAAAGUAUAAAGUGAGUUUGAAUUAUGAUAGGGGAGAGAUGGAUAUGAAAUGUUAACAUAUGAAACAUAGUUGAUAAAUGUCUUCACUGGUAUUCAAUCUCUAGUACAGCUAGGUUCAGGAUCAGUAAUUUCAACGUUAUGAUAAAUGUCCACAGGAUCAGUAACCUCAACGUUAUGAUCAGUGUCCACAUUUUCAGGAACCUCUGCCGGAGGAAGUGUUAAGUAAUCCUCAUUACCAAGUACUGGGUCUCCCCAUUUGUAGAUAGGCUCUUUUCCAAGUCCUAGGUCAGGCCAAAGCCAUUCGGUAAAUACAGAAGGGUGGAGCGGUAUUGACCUGUUUGCAGGAGACUGUGAGACGAGAAGAUUAAAACCAAACCCAACCAGGUCAUGAAGAUAAUCGACCAACGCAGUGUUCACUGUAGUAUCUCCAAUAAUUAUCAUCAAAUUUGUCAGUUUACGUUCAUUAACAAGUAUUGUCCACUCAAAUAAGCUAUCACAAAUAGCUCUACGUCUCGCACGUCGAUCUCCUAGAACAAUCAAUGCAUAAAAAAUUGGAUCAAGAAAAAGAGAGAAAAAGAGUAUCAGCGACCACGAGUUGGUCUUGGAUAUCUUGAAGUUAGUCUUCAAUGUGAAGUCCAUCAUGGUGAUGAGGAUUAUUCAUUUGGUUGUAGGCUUUUCAAACUUUUGAAACUUCCCUUGGGAUAAACUUUGAAGCCCUUAUCUUUACUUCUUCUUUUUUUGUAUUGUACCCAUUAUGUUUUCAAUUUACCGUUGUAUGAACUUUCCUCUUUCGAGGUUUUAAGUGAAAUACAAUUGUUUGUCUAAAAAAAAAAGAUAGAGUUUAAUAUUUCACCUGCGCGGAAUUGUUUCAAGGUGGUAUGGUUGUUUCGUUUUAUACCAGCAAGGUACUUCCUUGUAUGACCAAAGGCAAUGAUUGACACUUCACCAUUAAAACCCGCAAACUUUAGAGCGUUUUUAAUGUUGUUCGUAGCAUCAGCAGCACUUAGACCAUCAGGGACCGGACAAUCUUCAACGUCCCAGAAGACGCCUGUCUUAGCCCCUGCCAUAUUUUGCAAAAAAAACAUCAGAUCGCAAGUGAAUAUAAUUUGAUCAGGUUAUUAUGAAAAUCGAUCAUAUGAACUUGAUUAUAUCCAUUAAUUUAGUAUAACAUCGAUUAGAUUCACUUGUUUACUUAUUAAAAAUCUAAUAUAGUAGACCAAGAAACACACAACUUAAACAAAAGAAAAAAAAGUCAAGGAAAAGAUAGAUAGUGAUCAUACCGGUGUAGUCUACGCUCUUGGAAUUCAUGGUUUUGACGGUGAUCGAAACUUUAAUUUUUCAGAAACUGUUGAUAUGCAACGGAUGAGAGAGACUUAGGUGGUGUAUUCAGUUUAACAAUUGAAAUUAUAUAUGUUAAAAUAACAUAUAUAUAUAUAUAUAUACUUAUGUUAUUAACUAAAUGGUUUUUAAAAAUCUAGUGAAAUCCGGUGUUAUUUAGUUAAACUUUAAAUAUUUUCAGAUCUACUUUUAUCUAUUGUUGUUGAAAAUAUUUUAGUUAAAAUUAAAUUUUUAAUGAUUUGGAGAUAUUUUAGUUGAUGAGAUUUUCUUAGUUAAAAAUACAUAAUUUAAAAUCUCAUGGUUUUAAAUGAGGUUUGGUAGGAGUUGACAAAAAAUCAUAACAAAUUUUCUAAAUUCACCUAAAAUAUUAUAAACUCAUUAAGACUCAAACUAUUCAAAAUAUAAGGUUGGAUACAGAGACUUUGGGGGGAGGAGGGGGGGGGGGGACGAGGGAGUACUCAAUUUAACAAUUUAAGUUAUUUGUUAUAAACUAACAAAUCUUAUUCAAUUAAAGAUUUUUAAAGGUGUAAUGAAAUCCAGUGCUAUUAAAAAAAGCUUUUUCAUAUUUAGAAAUCUACUUUUAGCUAUUGAUAUUGAAAAUAUUUUAAAGAUUGAAAUUUUUAUUGACUUGAAGAGUUUUAAGUUGUUGAGAUUUUCUUAAUUAAAAAUCCAUAAUAUGUUUGGAAGGAGUUGACAAUAAAUGAUAACAAAUUUUCUAAAUUCACCUAAAAUCUUCAAAAUGUUAAUUUUUCUUUUUUGGUAAUGUUCAAAAUGUUAAUUAGUCAUUACUCAAAAUCAUUCAAAAUAUAAGGUUGGAUCCUUUAGGAUUUCAACAUUUUCGAAUGUGGUUCUUUUAUAAUUUAUAGGCGUUAUAAUUUAGGAAUAUUAGGAUUUUUAGUACAUUUCUAAAACAUAUUAUGCAAACUAAUACGUUUACUAUUCAAUAUUAGUAAAAUAGUACAUUUCUACUAUACAUCAUUUAUUCUCUGUCCAUUAUACCAUUAAAUUUUUUGAUUAUUUACGAAUCUAUUCCAUUCUAAACAGUUACUACUCUUCCUUUUCUCCAUUUCUCUCUCUCUUCGUACGCUCACAUUUUUUUUUCUUCUUCCUUUUUUUUUUUAUGUUUUUUUCUUUUUAUAUUAUCCCCCUUCAAUCUAAAAGCUAUAAUACUAUUCAAUAAAAAUAUUUUUUUAAAAAAAAAAAAAAAUCACAUAUAUAAAAACCUAAAUUUUUCUCUAUUAUUUUAUAUGCAUUUUGCUAGGUGAUUUUUUUUGAUGAUGUCAAAUAAUUUUUUCAGAUUUUAGAUCUGUACAACUUGAUAAAUGUACAGAUUAUCUGUAAUCUGUACAACUUAAUAAAUGUACAGAUGUAAUUUGUACAUCUGUACAACUUAUUAUAUGUACAGAUUUAAUUCGUACAACUUAUUAAGUGUACAUUCGGAAAACUUACUAAAUGUACAAGUAUAGAGUAAUACACACAAUUUAAUAUAUAUAUUUUAUUAUUGUAGAUAUAUAUAUAUAUAUUAAUAUACAAUUUUUUUCGUGUAGCAGAACUACUGUACAACAGAACUAUGUACAACAGAACCACUGUACAACAGAACUACUGUACAAAAGAACCACUGUACAAAAGAACCACUGUACACCAUAAUCAUGUACAUUCCAACCAUUGUACAACUCAUUGUACAAAAUUACUGCUUACGCUACAACUAAUGUACAAAACCAUCACAUACAACAUAGUGUUGUACAUAUAGAGAAUGAAAUGUAUAAUCCCCCGUUUAACAAAGUGUGUCAUUUCAUAGUUUUAUUUUUAAACAUGCAUUAUUUUGUAUAGAUUUCUUCUGCACAGUGAUCUAUAUCUGUACAAACAUCUUUAUGUACAGUGAUUUAUAAAUGUACAUACAUUUUUGUGUACAGUUGUAUCAAACUAAAACGUCGAGCCAUAAACAACUGUUGUACAUUUUAUGUUGUACAACUAGAUUUUAACCCGCGGUACACCGCGGGACGACAUUCCUAAAAUGUAUUAUUCUUAUUAAUUUUGUUUGGUAUAUAAGAGUGUACUACUAUAUUUUGAUUGUUAAUUCUAUGAUUUAACCCGUAGAAUAUUAUAUGAUAAUUUAUUUUUUAUAUAAUCGUAAUUUGAUCAAAUUAAUUAAAUAAGUAUAAUAUUUAAAAUAAUGAAAUGAUAUUGACAUAAUAUUUAUUUACAUAGUAUAAUUUCAUAUUAAAAUAUUUUAUGAAUUAUACUAUAGUAGACAACCCGUAAAAAUAUCUAUAAUCAUAAUUAUAUAAAUUAUAACUCGUUCCAUCACAUGACCCGUGCUACACAAUUAUCAUUAAUACUUUAGUACAUCCAUUUUGUAUCGUUUGAGUAAUAUAUAUCCGUUUCUAAAAAUUCAAAUUGCAACAUAUGCAAAAAAAAAAUUAUAUUUUUUUAUCAUACAUAUGUUUAUGUAAUAAUAUAAAUUUAAAAACAAAUAAGGUCAUAUAAAGAUGUUGGAGAAAUAUUUGAUUUCUUAGGGAGAGAUUUUAGGAAAUCUUGUUAAAUGUAAUAAAUAUUGAUUUCUAAUUUUGCAAUUUUAUUAUAAUUUAAUUACAAAAUUCAUCUUUAAUUUUUUCUAUUUAAUCAAAUGGCAAAGGGUUAAUUAUGAAAAUAUCACAAAAUGAAAGGGUAGAACAGAAAAGGUAAUUUGAUCAAAUUAAUUAAAUAAGUAUAAUAUUUAAAAUAAUGAAAUGAUAUUGACAUAAUAUUUAUUUACAUAGUAUAAUUUCAUAUUAAAGUAUUUUGUGAAUUAUACUAUAGUGGACAACCCGUAAAAAUAUCUAUAAUCAUAAUUAUAUAAAUUAUAACUCGUUUCAUCACAUGACCCGUGCUACACAAUUAUACAAUUAUCAUUAAUACUUUAGUACAUCCAUUUUGUAUCGUUUGAGUAAUAUAUAUCCGUUUCUAAAAAUUCAAAUUGCAACAUAUGCAAAAAAAAAAAAAUAUUUUUUUAUCAUACAUAUGUUUAUGUAAUAAUAUAAAUUUAAAAACAAAUAAGGUCAUAUAAAGAUGUUGGAGAAAUAUUUGAUUUCUUAGGGAGAGAUUUUAGGAAACCUUGUUAAAUGUAAUAAAUAUUGAUUUCUAAUUUUGCAAUUUUAUUAUAAUUUAAUUACAAAAUUCAUCUUUAUUUUUUUCUAUUUAAUCAAAUGGCAAAGGGUUAAUUAUGAAAAUAUCACAAAAUGAAAGGGUAAAACACAAAAGGUAAUUCAAAAAUGUUAAUAUAGAUUUUAAAAUAUAAUGUAUAUAAGUAAUGUAUUUGAAACUAUUAAACAUAAACAACUAUACAUAUAUAGCUUAAAUUGUACAUAUAUUAUAUAUAUAAAAUUAUGUAUAACAAUUGUACAUAAGAAUGUAUGUACAUAUAUAAUUAUAUAUAUUUAGACUAUUAUACAACUUACAAAGUUUACAAAUGCAAUGUACAGAAGUAAUCCAUACAACCUAAUAAGCGUACAAUAAUCCGUACAACCUACUAAGUGUACAAAUAGUAAACAAUUGUAUUCAUAUUUGUACAAUAGAAUAUAUAUAUACAAAUAAAAUUGUACAUACUUAAAUUAGAUUGUACAUAUAACUAUAUGUACAGAAAAAUGUAUGUAUAACAGCUGUACACAAGGAUAUAUGUACAAAUACAAUUGUGUAUAUAAAAAAUAUUAUACAAAGUUUAAAAUUAUUUAACAAAAUGCAUAUCAAAUUAUAGAGAAAAAAAUAUAGGUUUUUUGUAUGUGAAAAAUAUCAGAAAAAAAAAUUAUACUGAAGAAUAUUUUAAUUAUUAGAAUGAGACGGUAUAAUAAAAAGAAAAUGAAUUAUUUAAAAAAAAAAUUUCUCCACACACAAUGACACACACACACGCAUUCUCAAUCUCUCAAGCCUAUUUUUGUCUUUUUCCAGACACUCUCUUACCCUACAUCAUUUCCUAUCUCUACUAUUUUCUAUCUCACAAACAAUAAUACACACCUAUUUCCUUAAUUAUAAAUAGUAUAGGUACUAUUUUCCAAUUACUUUUGAAAAAUGUACUAAAUAGCCUACUCACACUAUAAUUUAUAGGCGUGUCGCCCGUGUGACAGAAAUUAAAGAGCCUAGAUCGAGCUGUCGCAUCUUUUCAUCAGUUGCAUCGCAAACAAAGCAACGGUUAGAGAUGUUUUUACAAAAUGAUACUUGAGUAUUGUUCUGGCGGAAGUAUAAGAGAUUUGCUCAGGAACAAUCACGGAGGUUUAAUGUAAAGCUGAUCGCAAAAGAUGUUCUGUGUGGUCUGAGAUAUAAUUAUACAGAAACAUUAUUGACUGUAGCCUUGUUUUUGUGCCCUUCAACGAGAGAUCCGUCUCUGGAAUGACAAACAGCACAGGAAGGCGGAAACAUUUAAAGUUCAGCUAACCAACAUCCAAGGCGAGCAAAGGAGACGAGCCCUUUCUCCCAUUGUGGGAACACUUUCUCAUGCAGCACAUCUGCUUCAUGGAGAACUGAUCUUAAAGCAGUAGGACUGGGCUGGAGAAUCUAUCUGGAGACACUCGACAUGCUGCACCAAUGUGGCCUCAUCUCUCAUGGACGAAGCUCUAGCUAUUCGCUCGGCCCUAUCUAUGGCAAAAGAACUUCAAAUUUUCCAUCUCAAGAUUGAUUCAGGUCAAUGCUAUAACCUCUAGAUCUUGAUCCGGGACCUCAAUCAAUGUCAAAUCAUUUCAUAUUGUAGAGUUAGGUAUGUACAACUGAUAUUCUUCCUAUAGAUUAACAUCAAUCAUUCAUUCUGCUCAUUAUCAAUUGAAUCUUGAUUUGGAAGCAAUGAAAUUUACCAUCAUAUACAUAUUCCACAAACCAGAGUGUUGGAAGUGUUGAGAAGUAAACACAUAAUGUAGUUAAAGUUACCUAAUAAGAAAAAUCUUCGUAAAUGAUAUAUUAUAGGGGUAAAAAUUAUUAAAUAAGCUAGGGUGUCCCGGGUUGCUGUUACUUAUCGAAUACAACUCCAACACAUUGAUGAGGUAUGGCAAAACUGAGUCAUCGGUUGACUGAAAGACUAUCUGGAAAACCCAUGUGGCCGGCAUAUACAUCUCUCAAAACGAAAUGAGUAGCUUCCCAAACACCGGCGGUACAAUUGGACCCGAAUCCACUUGAGUGGUGUCGUUGAAAGACCGUCUUUGAGUCCGACCACCGAGGCUAUCCACUGCCAUGUAAUGAUUACACAGAACCAUUUUAUAUAGGUUUCCACCACCUUCCCGACAGCUCCUCCCGACAUCCCGUUAUAUAUCUUUCUGGCCUCCUCGUCAUCUCCUUCUCAACAAUGGCAACGACAAUAACAUGAGAAAGACAGUGAUGCUGGUGAGCUCCGACGUUGGGAGAAUCUAGGUGUUGUUCACAAACUCUGUUUCUUUCUCUCGCCAAAACGAAGAGGGCCAUAUACCCUCUCCUCACACAACACAAAACCCUUUAGUUGUUUAACAAGAUAUUGGGUCUUUAAUGGGCUUUGUCUUCUUUUAACAAGAUAAACAUGCCCAGUUACAUAUAUUUAGCCUACUGUAAAGGUCUAACGGGUAGCUACAUAAAUUUACAAGAGCCCAACGAUAUACAAAUUAUUUAAUUAGGUACGUAAUUUUGCAUAAAAUGCAUAUAACAUUUUGUUACUCGGCUACUAACAAAGAGAAUGACGAACUAGGUGUUCUUUGUGAUAAUAAUUAAGUAGAUAGUUUGAAUGAAAGCACUGAGUAUUUCUCAAAUACAAGAGGCUAUCAGAGUAUAAUGUGAACAUGCAUGCAGUGAAAUGUUUGAUAUGAUUCAUAACGACGACGUGUUGUCUAUUUGUUUUAAUAAGAUAUGAUUCCUUUUAAUUAAAUGUGGUCUCAAGUUUGUUAAUUAGUCUACAAUUCAAAACUUUUAGAAACCCUUAAUUAUUCAAUUUCCUUCGAUUUUGUGUGUAUAGGAAAGCAUAUAUUAUUUCUUUAACAUAUAUGUAUAGACCAUUUCCCAUGUGUGUUUCAAGACAAAUAAACAACAUCUACAAGUCAUAAAGCAAUAAAAUAAUAAUAAUUCAUUUUCUUAGAAACACUCAUCUUCCUUGAUGAGAACAGUUUUGGAAAGGAGAUUUAUUAUUGGACCGGACAAGAAUAUAGAAAAGGGUAAAAAAAGCAAAACAAAUAUCAACCUGAAGAGGACGAAUUGAAGAAGAAUAAUGAAUAAUAGAACUCCCGAAAAUGAAGAAAUAACACGACAAAAAAAAAAAAAAAAAAAAAAAAAAAAAAAAGACGAAGAAAGGAUGAACAAAACAUUGCCGCAGACUAAUGGACUUGUACUAGCUUAUGAUCGAUAUUUAUAUGUUUAUAACUCAUUUAGCAAAUCGAUAUAUUUAUGUCUCAUAAUCACUUCAACUUUAGUUUAAUUUCGUUUUCGCGUACGUACGUAGAAUAUUAUGCACUACGAAUGGAAUACUAGUAUAAAUAUAGAGUAGUAACCAAUGAAUGUUCGUAAAGGGAUUUAAGAGAAGAGAUGAUGAUAACACUUAAAAUAAAUUUAAGUAAUGAAUAUAUAUAUAGAGAGAGAUUUAUCUCUUUUAUUAACCAGUUUGACAAUUUGCGUACAACCAUUAUUUACGUGGGACAAUUAUUCUUUCUUUCUUUUAUUUUAUUUUUGUUCAACAAAUGAUGAUAAUUAGUUAGUACUUUAUUAAACUACUUAAGGCUUUUUGUAGGGACCUCCUCCAAAAGCUAACUUAGGCCAAUGCCAUGCAGUCGGUGACUCCUGUAUCAUCACCUUAGAUGGUGUGAGUUUUCCGGAUUUACUCUCGAUCCUGCUCUGAUGAGCAACCAUAAGAUUAUAUCCAGCUUCCUUGAGCGUGACCGUGGCAGUCAUGAAAUCCCCAUCCGAGGUAAUAAAAAGUAUGUUACAAGGGGGUGGAUCGUCAAACGCCCAAGUGUAGAUGGCAUUAAGGAUUCUCUUGUCACUCGCAUCUUUUCCCGAAGGUACGUGAGUAAUUUCGAUACCAGUCUCACGAAGUUUGGUUUCAUGUGGCAAAUUGCUGAUGUUGCCAAAGCCUUUCAUAACGAUUUCCCCCGUGUAUCCUAGAUUUCUCAGCGCCUGUGUGAUAUUACUGAAAAGUUGAGACCGAUCACAAUUGGUAGGAACUUGGGUAUUUUCAAAGUCCCACAUAAUAAUUAUCUUCGAUCCCAUAUACUCUGUAAGAGUAAACCCCUUCAAAAAUAGAAAUGUGAUUAGUUACUAAUAAUUUGAAACAAUAUAAGUUAAAGACGACAUACUGUAUAUAUAAUAAAGAAAUAGGAGAUACCUUAAAGGAAAGCGGCUUAUGUCGCAUAAACGAAGAUGACGUUAUGUCAUUUAAUAGUUUCUUCAUCACGUCAUCUAGUCAAUUUUUUUUUUUUUUAGUUAAUAUAAACAAUAAAUUUUUAUUUCACAAAAUAAAAGAAUUGUAAGAAUUUUACCGGAAUCAAAUUGCUUGACACGAUUAAGACAAUCUUUUAAAGCAUCCGCAUGAGAGGACGAUUCUGGUGAAGAAAUACAGCUACUCCAAAACGUUGAAAUAGAACUUAGAUCAACUCCUACGUCCGUGCAUUUACCACAAGCCUCCCUUUCACAUUUGUUAACCCAAACGCUUUGGCGGUGAUCUUUCGGCUUCUUGUCCUCGAAUAGGUUAGCAAAAUAGGCUAAUUUGACAAGAGAUGAACUAAUAGGAGCUGCUAGGUUUUACGAAAUUAUAUAUAUUAAUUAUAUAUAUAUAUAUAUAUAUAUAAUGACAAGAAAACGACAAAAUAAUCACAACAACAAUAUAUAAUCCCAAAUCCCAAAAAAACAAAAAAAAGAGAGGAAAGUAUAGAGAUGUAACAUAUACCCUCGUGUCCACUGCUAACAUAAAAGUUGUUCGCCAUGCAUCCAUUUAGCCCAACUACCUUAAGCCAACAGAACUCAUGUGAAAAUAGUCCUUCCGUCGCAAGCUGUGAACAAAUGAAACAGCCUCUCUCGCUCAAAGACACGAGAGCCUUGACAAAAUCCGAGUCUUCUGAGAUAUUGCCCAGAAGAAGCACCAAAUUUGAAGGUUCAGGGUUAUCAAUCACCCAUAAAAGAGUAUCCACCAAAAUCUUUUGAAGCUUCACGUCUUUAUCUCCUGAAAUCACAUCAUAUAUAAACGGAGUUAAGUCUCAAGACGCAAAGUACUAGCUAGGCUAGGCCUAUCAAGGAGAGCGUGAAAUAUAAAUACACACCUAACGGUUCUUGAUUGAACUUGAUUCCAUUGGGUUUUCGGUCACCCGUGAUACUUUGUGCAUCACCAUAAGCACAGAUAGAGACUACUGGACCCUCCAACAUCAAAGACUCAUUCGCCUUCUCCGUAAAGUGUGCAUGGAUAUCAUCAAACUGGAUAUUAUCUGGUUUCGGGCGAUCGUCAAUAUCCCAGAACAAUGUCGUCUUCGCCGCUGCAAAAUGGUAAAAGAGAUCUAUGAAUUCUAAGAUCAUAUAAUUUCUGAAACGAUCUAGAUAAGUAUAAACUCAAUCCUUAAUGAAUUACCUUUGUGUGUCUCGAAGGGUCUAAGAUACAUCGUUUCUAACAAAUGUGGAGACUAAAUACACUUUCUGAGUUGGAUUGUUGUUGUUGUUUUGUUUUUUUUUUUUUGUUUCUUGUUUUUUGAUUGUGCUCUUUAGAACCUAAGAGUAUGAGGCCUUUUAUAGGCCUGGAAAGCAACUACUUCACUAAGCUUUACUUGAUCAUCAAGUUAAUAAAAAGUUAUACAAACUCGUGUGGAAAUCACUAAUAUAUGCGUGCAAGAACAAGAAAUCUCAACAUUAGUCAUUAACAUUGUUACAACUUUAAAUCCUCGUGGAUACCAGAUCAAAACGAUUGCACAAUGACACAGCUAGCAGCUUAGGUUUCCUGUCACAUCAACAUGAUGGCAAAACACACAAAAGAAAACCCCUUUUUUUAACCAUUUGUAGCAAAUUUUAACGCGUCUUACGUAAAAACUUUAUAGGAAUGGAAAUAUCUUCCUCACUAAGCAUCAACUUGAUCAUCAAGUUAAUAAAAGUUAAAUAAACUCCCUUGGAAAUCACUAAUAUAUGCGUGUAAGAACAAGAAACCUUUUCAUAAACAUUGUUAGAAGUUUAAAACCUUGUGGUUCUCGUCGCAUAGCAAUAAAAAGAACAAUCCCUUUUUAACCAUUCUUAGCAAAUUUUAAAGACGCGUUAAAAUUUAUAUGAAUGGAUCGAAACUUCGUCACCAAGCUUAUAUAACUGGAUCAUCAAGUUAAUAAAAAGUUAAAUAAACUCCCCGGCCUGGAAUUAAUUAAUAUAUGCGUUCAAGAACAAGAAACUCGACACGGCCUUCUCAUUGUCAUUGUCAAAAAAGUAAACCCUUGUGGAAGUAUAACUUUAGGAAUUUUUUUUUUUUUUUUUCUUUACAAUUUACUGUGAUUAUUUUUGUGAUGUUCUUAAUUAUUCUUGUCUUUUUUCUUCUCAGUUCUCACUUACAUAGAGCAAAUAGAGUUUCCAGUACAUAUAUUUCCAUUUUUUUGUUUGUCUUUCCGUAACAGAAAAGGAAAACGUAGGUUCUGUUGAGUUCUGCUUUGUAGAAGACAGAACUUAUAUGUACCCUCAAGUGCCCUCCUCUUGGGUGUUACAAUCAACAUGCAGUUUUCGUUGUUAGAUAGAACCAAAAUCAUAUCAUUUUCGUGUGACUGAAUGUCAUCGCGAGGAAUACCUCUCUCAGGAGCAAUCGGAUCCUUAAAGCAAAAUCUAAGUUAAGGGUUCAUCACUCGUUGUUCACGGAGUUCACCUGAAUGCAAAGCAAGGGUGGAACUGCUGGACUUGGAAUAAUACUCAUCCACUGAUUCGAAACGCAAUGAUAAUGUUACAUGAAAAAAAAGCAAACAAAUUAUUUGUAGCUGUGUGCCCUCAUCAUACAUAUAUAAGUUCUGUCUUCUACAAAGUCAAUAACUAAGUUACUGGCAAGUAGAAAAGAUGGCGGUGGAAAAUGGACAGUUAAUGAAGAGAUCUCGACAGGAUCUUAUCAUAAACAUUGUUGAAACCCUUAUGGAAAUCUUCAUCUGCUAUAACCAAAUCAAAAAGAUUGCACAAUUAUGAUAUUCCUACAACAACAACAACAAAAAUGAUAAGAACUUGUUAUAACCUACAUAUACAUGAAUUUCAAACUCAUGGGUUAAGCUAACUAACCUGACCCAAGUAAUUGACAAGAAUGUUGGCUCCAAGAGACCAUCCUGCUGCAUACAAAUUAGAUUUUGGGGAAUUUAUCUCCAACAUGAGCAAUCACUUCACCAAUGUCACCUAAAAACGAAGCCUGAGUAGAACUGCAUUAUCAGUAUCAAUCAUAAUACUACAGUCUAGCAACUUCCCAAUGCUAACCAAAUGAAGCUAACUGAGACUAUUCAUCAUUCAUCACCCAGACCAUCAAACAUUACAAAAAGGAAGCUACUUUAUAUCUCGACAUCUUUCACUAAGUCAACCACUAACUAAACAAUCAGAAACCAUGACGCCAACCAAACCCUAUUCGCAGGGAUAACUUUUUUUAUUUUAUUCAGUCUAAUCCCUGUUCUCAAAAUGAUUGAUUGAUCAAAACCAUAACCCAUCUCCAAAGUUUACUCCUUUCGAUGAUCAGCAAAUUAGGUUAGUGAUCCAACAUACCCAUAUCCAAAGUUUACUCCUUUUGAUGAUCAUAAUCGUCAAUUCGAUAGCAAACGAAGAAAUUUACAACCCAUCUCCGAAGGUUACUCCUUUCGACGAUCAGAUUCAUCAAUUCGAUAGCAACCGAAGAAAUUUACAGAACCCAGAACUUAGAACCAAAAAAAACAAAAAACAAUCUGAGAUCAUGACAUUGACACCAACCAAACCCUAUCCUCAGAGUAAGUUUUGAUUAGAAAAAUCAAAACUUUUGAUGAUCAUAUUCAUCAAUCCAUCAAUUUGAACUCAGAAUCACAGAACCCAGAACCCAAAAAAACAUAAUCGAAAAAGGAUUCGAGGGGUUUUUUACCAGAAGAUAGUGAAAUCAUAGAAAUCGUAAUCGAAGCACAUGAAGACCAACGAAGCAGCUGAGAAAAUGGUUUGGCCGAAACGGAGAGCGAAGCUGGCGCUAGUGCCGAACGAUCCUGGCACAUUCUUCUUCUCUUCUUCUUCUCUUCUUCAUCAUCCGAACCAAAAUUUCAACUCAUUUUUCUCGGGAAAAAAUUUCUGAGAAAAACGAGUCAAAGAGUCUAACAUCCUGUUAACCCAAAUGGAUUUACUCUUUCUUAUUUUUUUAUUUUUUUUUUGCUUUUUUGGCUCUGUUUUACAAAAUAAUAAUAAUAUUAAACUCACAUUUUUUAAAGUCUUCUUUUUAUUAAAUUAUUUUUUUACUUUAAUAAAUUGGUUUAUUUUUACCAAAUUAUAAGGGAAAAAACCCGAAAAAUAUGCCAUAUAAUUUUUAUUUGGCCGUUUAAUUCGUGUACUAUUAAAUUUGGAAUAAAAAUACAUGGUUUAAUUUACGUUGUAUCAAAAAAGCUUCAUUUAAUUAUUCUUGGCAAAUCGAUACGCACGAGUUAACAGCCGUUAACGAUGGUCACGGAAUCAUUAACUGGGGUUAAAUAAUAACAUCACGUGGUUAAUGAAGGUUAAACAAAGACACUGUUGUCCUUUCUCCUCUGUUAUCUAUCCCAAAUCGAUUUUAGAAUCGAAGAACCCUAAAAGAAUGGUGAGCCAAACUUCUGAGUUUUCUGAUGCGAAUUCAAGCCGUAGCUGCGGUCCUCUUUGCAGCAGUUGUGGUAGAGUUACGAUUGUUUCAAAGUCAUGAACCAAUGACAAUCCAGGAAGAAGAUUCAACAGAUGUGUUGUUCAUGGAUUCUUGAGUUGGGUGGAUGAACAGAAGCCAUACGGUUGGCAGAAAUUAAGCUUGAUAGAGGCGAGAGAUGAGAUCAAGAAACUGAAAGAAUCUGUAAGGGCAAUGAAUGAACAAAUGGUGAGUGGUUGCAAUAUCGACUUUGAAACAAUCGUAACUCUACCACAACUGCUGCAAAGAGGACCGCAACUACGGCUUGAAUUCGCAUCAGAAAACUCAGAAGUUUGGCUCACCAUUCUUUUAGGGUUCUUCGAUUCUAAAAUCGAUUUGGGAUAGAUAACAGAGGAGAAAGGACAACAGUGUCUUUGUUUAACCUUCAUUAACCACGUGAUGUUAUUAUUUAACCCCAGUUAAUGAUUCCGUGACCAUCGUUAACGGCUGUUAACUCGUGCGUAUCGAUUUGCCAAGAAUAAUUAAAUGAAGCUUUUUUGAUACAACGUAAAUUAAACCAUGUAUUUUUAUUCCAAAUUUAAUAGUACACGAAUUAAACGGCCAAAUAAAAAUUAUAUGGCGUAUUUUUCGGAUUUUUUCCCCAAAUUAUAAUAAGAUGAAAUUAUGUAUUUGGAAUAAUAAUAAUAAUAAUAACAGUGAUUAUUUUACCCAAAAAAGUAAGAUAUCUUCUCUCUUUAUUUUUCACCUAAAUCCUUAUCAUAUCAUAUGCACCUAAAUCCUUAUCAUAUCAUAUUAUUAUUUGCAUGAUAGAUCCACAACUAGAUUUUAACCUAUACGUAAGUCAGACUUGGUCCUCUCCUUCCAACUUCCAACCCAUGUAUUGAGUUUGUAAGUUUCUUGCGGUGGAAGCAAGACCUAUAAAUAAUAUCGGGUUAAGUGAUUAUUAGUCGAAACUGUUGAUAUGCAACCUUUAAUUGACUAUAAGUUUUGAGUUAUUUGUGAUAAAAUAACAAAUCUUAUGUUAUGGCAUUCAUUCUCUAAUACAGCUAGGUUCAUGAUCAAUAACGUCCACAUGAUUAGUAACUUCAACCAGUGUCCAGAGGAAACUUUUGCUGGAAGAAAUGUUAAGUAAUCUUCAUUAUCAAGUACUGGGUCACUCCUUUUGAAGACAUGCUCUUUUCCAAGUCCUAGGUCAGGUCAAAACCAUUCGGUAAUAACAGAAGGGUGGAGCGGUAUUGACCUGAUUGCAAGAGACUGUGAGACGAGGAGAUUGAAACCAACCCCAACCAGACCAUGAAGAUAAGCGACCAACACAGUGUUCUCUAAAGUAUCUCCAAUGAUUAUCAUUAAAUUUCAGUUUAGUUCUUUAACAAUUAUUGUCCACUCAAAUAAUCUAUGACAAAUAGUUCCACGUUUCGCACGUCGAUCUCCUGGAACAAUCCAGGUCUCGCACAUCGAUCUCCGAAGCAUCUCAAACCAUCCACAUAACUUGUUUUAAAUUCCAAUUUUAGACAAAAAAUAUAUAUAUAUCGGUGAAUCCACAUAAUCAUAUUACAUAAAUCAAUGAAAUUAAUCAGACACAUUUUCAAAUCAUACAUUACUAAUUCCAAUUUUCAUAAUAAAUCAAAUAGGUUAGUCGUUCCAAUCCAUGUUACAUUAGUUUACGACCUUUCAUUAAAGAAAGAAUGAUUUAACUAAUACUUGAUCUCUCAAAUUAUUCACUGAUCGAUAUAUAUUUCAUUUAUCGAGCAUUAAUAUAUAUUGAGAGAAAGAAGAUGUUUCAAUACAAUUUUACAAAAGUUACAAAUUAUAUAAUUCACUCAAGCUGACCGUACCAAACCCCUUGGAUCUUCACAUCCUUAGGUACCUUAGCACCCAAGUCAGUAUCCGACGGCUGAAGACUUUCGAACACUCCAAUCACUUCACCUGUCUCCGGUUUGCUCUUUGUGAUCCUCAAUGUGAUAUCUCCGACAGAUGCUGCUGUGUUCUUGACGUUUUCCUUGGACAGCUCUUCCUCGUCUCCUCUGCCUCCAGCAGGCAAAGCCACUGCAUUAUCGUACCCGGUAGAUCCACCACGACCCUUUGGGUCCAAGAAAGACGAGCCACGGUACGAUGGAACUAAGAACUUUCCACUGAAGCUUUCGGGUUUCCCUGAAGCCUCCAGCUGUUUAACCGUGAAGAGGAACGGCACUCUUUCUCCUCCUGGAAGCUGAACUGUGACUGCUGCGUAAUCGAUCCCAUCUUCUUCCUUGAACUUCACGCUUCCGUCUGAACCAACCUGGUCAAAUGACAACAAGUUAAACCGACUUUGUUAGUUACUUGCGGUAGAAGAAAGAAUCUAUAAACUGAGAUUUGAUUAAGUGAUUGAAGACUAACCUCGAAGGGUCCUUCAAUCUCAUCAAGCGUGUAAGUGAGACGGGUCAUAAGCUUGGUGUUUUGGAAAUCCGGAGGCGCGUUCUUGCUGACGCUCUCUGCUUUGACGGUGAAGGAAGUAGGCUCAAAGCAGAACUUCUUGCCUGUGUACUUACCAGGUUUGAACGAGAAUGUCUCAGAGCCACCGUCGAUAGUCGGACACUGGUUCGCCGUACCGGUUCCCUUAACCUCCAUGUAAGUCUUGCUCUGUAUCUCGUCGUACGUUAGCCUCUUUGGUGCUCCCUCCGCACCAGCCCCCUUCAUUUCCCAAAACAAAGUUUUAUAAAUACUAAAACUUCCAACUAAAACAUGCAAUUUAAUCUACUUAUCUACAUAUGAUACUAUGACAUAACAAAACGACUUAAUUCCACCUCAAAUUGAUUAUAAGUUAUGAUACAUUAGGCAAGCACUAAUUCAUGUCACUUAAGCUAUAAUCCCUACUUGCCCUAGCCUAGCCAACACAACUUCUUAUGGUUGUCUCGUCAGAUCAACAUAAAGCCUGUAUAAUUU
rnacentral:lncRNA from 1 species